CAGAGCCGAAAUCCCAGAGCAGUGAAAGAGGAGCCAGUGUCAUGGGGCUUCUGGUUUCAGGACACACUGGAAAGACUGUGGGUUCUCUCAACAGGGUGAACAUGAAAAAUAGAAGCCUCCAGUUUCUCCUGAUAGUGUAUAGAUGGGCAGAUCUGGCCUCAAUGGCAGAAGAUACUUGGGGAACUGGAGAAAGUACAGAAGGUGAUGUGAAAUCAAUUGGGUCAUCAAAAGAAGACGGGUGUACCACAAUUUGUUCCUCCACCUGCUGCCCAUGAACAUUUGGAGGGUUUCUAGUUUUUGGCUAUUACAAAUAAAGUUGUCAUGAACAUUUGCAUAC
rnacentral:misc_RNA from 1 species